rnacentral:rRNA from 1 species
GACGAACGCUGGCGGCGUGCUUAACACAUGCAAGUCGAACGGAAGGGCCCUGCUUGCCGGGUGCUCGAGUGGCGAACGGGUGAGUAACACGUGGGUGAUCUGCCCCUUACUUUGGGAUAAGCCUGGGAAACUGGGUCUAAUACUGGAUAGGACCAUGCUGUAGGUGGUGUGGUGGAAAGAUUAGUUUCGGUAAGGGAUGAGCUCGCGGCCUAUCAGCUUGUUGGUGGGGUAAUGGCCUACCAAGGCGUCGACGGGUAGCCGGCCUGAGAGGGUGGACGGCCACAUUGGGACUGAGAUACGGCCCAGACUCCUACGGGAGGCAGCAGUGGGGAAUAUUGCACAAUGGGCGCAAGCCUGAUGCAGCGACGCCGCGUGGGGGAUGACGGCCUUCGGGUUGUAAACUCCUUGCAGCCAUGACGAAGCCCUUGUGGUGACGGUAGUGGUAGAAGAAGCACCGGCUAACUACGUG